UACGUAGGCAGCAAGCGUUGUUCGGAGUUACUGGGCGUAAAGGGUGCGUAGGCGGCUUCUUAAGUCUGGUGUGAAAUCUCCCGGCUCAACUGGGAGGGUGCGCCGGAUACUGAGGGGCUAGAGUGUGGGAGAGGAAAGUGGAAUUCCUGGUGUAGCGGUGAAAUGCGUAGAUAUCAGGAGGAACACCGGUGGUGUAAACGGCUUUCUGGACCGUAACUGACGCUGAGACACGAAAGCGUGGGUAGCAAACAGG
rnacentral:rRNA from 1 species